CUGUGUGGCAGCAGUCAGACAGACAGACAGACGAUUCAAGUCGCUUAGGCGUCACCUGUGAAAUCACCCGAAGCUGAGCGCUGCUCUUCGCUUUGCCUGACGUGAACUCCACCACUCCACUCAUGUCCGUGGAGGUUUGUCUGAGUGUUAGCCUGUGGACUGUGCCCAUCUUCUCCAGGCGCACACGAGAGCUGGGCUGCAAGGCCUCGCCAUUCAAACUCCACACGGGAGCUUUGACGACGGGAGCAGACACUUCACACUCGAAGCUGGCUUCAUUGGGGGCCGCAACCUCCACGUCUUUCAGCUCUCUGACCAUCAACAAGGACUGGGCUGAGACAGUGAGACGGAGCAGAGGGAGAACUGUGAGCUCUUCAGCAAACAAACACACUGAAUUAUAAGCAAGGCCCCUUAAAUCAUUGAAGUUUUACUGUUGUGGCUGCUCAGUGUGUUUUAGACUCUGUCAAGCCAUGCAGAAGGAUUUCUGCCUGGAUUUAAAAGUGACCUGUUAUAAAACAGGUCACUGAUACACAACACACUUCUCUGCCACAACAUUAACACCAAUUACCCGUGUUAGUGUUGUGAUUAUGUGUUAUAAGAGCUGAAAAAUCAUUUAAAACUUAAUUUAAAAAACAUAUUAUCGGGUGCAGCUGUGCAGGAAGAGUGGGUUGUCUUAACUGAAACGUAGGAGGUUCAAUCCCAGCUCCUCUAGUCUAAACACCUUUGUGUCGCUGGACAAAACACUUACACGUCACAGUACUCCAGACAGCUGUGCUGGCAGCAUGUGAAUAGGUAUGAUAGAUGUGGGGAAGAAAAUAAUACUGCAUGGAAAAGUGCCAUGAAUGAAUGGAUGAAAGUAGUAGUAUAUAAGUGCCUGGUUAACUUUGAUUUAUUGCAUAUUAUAUAGUCGUGUUGGUUGGUCUGAUUUGUCCUGGCAGUUGUAAACACAGGCUCAUUUUUGUUUAUAAAAGUAUUUUAGGUCUGCUCUCAUCAUAUCUAUGUUUUUGCUUUUAUUUAGUCAAAAAGCAAGUUUGCAACUGGAAUGCUCUCCAAAAUUACCUAAAACUGAAGGAGUUCAUUCUCACUGAACCAUUUUAAAGGGCUAUUGAAUGACUUGGAGGCACACACUUCUGGCUAUGGUUGUUUUUAACUGAUUUGAACUGGUUUUGUAAUGUCACUAAGCCUACGUUUGUUGAACAUUUGUACUAUAGUCUAUUUAUUUCUUACAUGCAUGAUGAUUAUGGUGCUGUUUUAAUGUUGCUGUUAAUGUCUGUAAAUUGUACUACUGCCUGUCUUGGGCAGGACACGUUUUAUCCUGGUUAAAUAAAGGUUUAUUAUUAUUAUCAUUA